rnacentral:lncRNA from 1 species
AUCAAUACCUCUCCUUUGACCUCGGACUGUAAGACUUUUAAUUUCCAACAUCCUAGGGUGUCUUACCUCAAAAGGCUCACUCAUGGUGGAGUAGACGACGCAGAAGUUAGCUGGCCCUGAACCGAUGGGACAUACAUAGAGAAGGCUUUCCGGAAACUUGAAGAGAGCCGUGUCUUGUGCUUGCCCCUACUAUGUCCUUGACCCAAAUACAUACCUUAAGGUCAGCACCCAGGAUGACAGCUGUGGACAGCAUCUUGGUGUUCCUGGAAAAUGUCCGAGAUUUGUACUUGUUUGCACCUCAGUUCUUCCCUGCUAACUCUGUGCUUUUGUUUACUGGGAUCCUAAUUGCUUGGGGCCCAGUGUCCUCUACUUGCCCCUUGGUCUUACAGGCUUCACGUCUCAGUGUUCGCUUUAGAACCUUGGUUCAUGUUCUCUUGUCCGGAUUGAACCUCUUUCACUUGCCUAGUCAAACAGCCCUGGCCAAGCCUCUCCCAUGUGCAUCCAAAGUGCCCCCAAACCUCUAGGCUUGGGCACCCCUCCCUAAGGAAAGCCUGGUCAUGAGGUGAUAAAGUAACACACAGCUGGAGCAGCUGGCAAGCGUCUUACGUUUUUCAGAUGAGAAAGAUGUCAGAGAUGGAGGAAAGAUGGAGAAAACUGAUGUGGGAGGUCACUGGGGGCAACGGAGAAGACAAGGUAAAGGCGCAGAAUGGCCCUAAGUAGUGGGGUACCUGUUUCUCUGAGGGGGGAACUAGAUAAUGACAUAAGUGAAGACUGCUUUGCAGCUGGAAUAGGAAGCUAAGGAAAAUAUAUUAUUAGAGUUACCUUGGUUCCUGGCUAUGUGAGUGGUUGAUUUAGUUGACGUUGAUAGGGUUCUUAUAAUUAUGUUUAUAUUCAUAAAAGCAUAUUUUAAAAACAUAUUUUGUGCAUGUCUUGUAAUUUGAUUCUUUCUAGGAGUCAGCAACAGCCAAGCCACCCCUGCCACUACCAAAGGGUUUCUCUGUAUUGCUUUGGAGGUUGUCCUGGAACUCGCUCUAAUUCACAGAGAUCUGCCUGCCUCUGCAGUGCUGGGAUUAAAGGCAUGUGCCACCAACGCCCGGCCUGUGCAACUUUUUAGGAUUUUUUUCUUUUUAAGACAAUGUCUUAUUCUAGCCCAGAUUGCCCUGAAAUUCACUGUGUAGCCUAAGCUGGCCUCAAAAUUGAAGCAAUUCUCCUGCCUCCAUCUCCUAAUCCUGGGAUUAUAGGUGGGAGCCACCACACCCACCUCAGUAACUAUUUAGUUUAAAAGGACACAAUAACUAUAAUUUAAUUUAUUAUUUUUUUCCUCAUUUUUCUAGUGUUCAUAGCAUUCUACUGUGAUUGGGC